UGGGGAAUAUUGGACAAUGGAGGAAACUCUGAUCCAGCAAUUCUGUGUGUGUGAAGAAGGUUUUAGGACUGUAAAACACUUUUAGUAGGGAAGAAAAAAAUGACGGUACCUACAGAAGAAGCAAUGGCUAAAUACGUGCCAGCAGCCGCGUUAAUACGUAUGUUGCGAGCGUUAUCCGGAAUUAUUGGGCUUAAAGGGCAUCUAGGCGGUAAGACAAGUUGAAGGUGAAAACCUGUGGCUCAACCAUAGGCUUGCCUACAAAACUGUUGAACUAGAGUACUGGAAAGGUGGGUGGAACUAAACGAGUAGAGGUGAAAUUCGUAGAUAUGUGUAGGAAUGCCGAUGAUGAAGAUAACUCACUGGACAGAAACUGACGCUGAAGUGCGAAAGCUAGGGGAGCAAACAGG
rnacentral:rRNA from 1 species